AUGGAGGUUCUCUAGAGGCUGAGUGCCCUCUGUGGUGCCCAAGGAGGCUGAGCUCUGUUCCUGCGAGCCCCAGUUGUCAGACCUGCUCAGAUCUCAGGAUUUCUUCAGGACCCAACCUACCCCAGAAUGGCGUGGAGUGCAGCACAUUCAUUUGUCACUGAGCCACCUUUCUGGUUCCAAGGCUGCAUCUGUCCACUGGACUAGUGAGAGGAUUGUCAGUGUUUUGCUCCUGGGCCUGCUUCUAGCUGCUUAACUGAAUCCUUGCUCUGUGAUGGCCUACUCCGUGGCUGCAACUCUCACUCUUCAUGGUCUUGGGGCCUUGGACAAGUUGUUCCUGACUGUGUUCAUGGGGAUGCAUUGCAGAAAGCUGCCAAGGCAGGCCUUUUGGCACUUUCAGCUUUAGCCUUUUCUGGGCUUUGCUCUUUCAACUAUCAUGAUGUGGGCAUCUGCAAAGAUACUGCCACAUUGUAGAAG
rnacentral:lncRNA from 1 species